rnacentral:rRNA from 1 species
AAGACCUGUCAAGUCAGGAACCUGCACAGGUGCUACAUGGCUGUCGUCAGCUCGUGUCGUGAGAUGUUGGGUUAAGUCCCGCAACGAGCGUAACCCCUGUUUCUAGUUGCCACUUUCAAAGCCGCAAGGCCUCGAGAAGCACUCUAGAGAGACUGCUCGGGAUAACCGAGAGGAAGUGGGGAUGACGUCAAGUCCCGUAUCGCCUUUAUGCCUUGGGCUACACACGUGUUACAAUGCCUACUACAAAGCGUCGCCAACCCGCGAGGGGGAGCUAAUCGCAAAAAAGUAGGCCCAGUUCAGAUCGGAGUCUGCAACCCGACUCCGUGAAGCCGGAAUCGCUAGUAAUGGCGGAUCAGCUACGCCGCCGUGAAUACGUUCCCGGGCCUU